CAGGUUCAGGUCUGUGAUUGAAAGUCCAAGCCAGGCACGGGCAAAGGGAUCCACGUAAGCUGCACAGGCGAAAAUGCCGCAGUGAUCAUGGCGUGCUUUAGAAGUAAGUCCUCCGCAAAGCGGGUAAAGGCAGGUGUGGGGUCAAAGAUCAGGUCAGCUGAACCUG
rnacentral:ncRNA from 12 species